AGGGAAUAGAUACCCAGGUAGUCCACGCCCUAAACGAUGUCGACUAGGUGUUCGGUGAGGAGACUCAUUGAGUACCGCAGCUAACGCGUGAAGUCGACCGCCUGGGGAGUACGGUCGCAAGAUUAAAACUCAAAGGAAUUGACGGGGACCCGCACAAGCGGUGGAUGAUGUGGAUUAAUUCGAUGCAACGCGAAAAACCUUACCUACCCUUGACAUGUACGGAACCCUGCUGAGAGGUGGGGGUGCUCGAAAGAGAGCCGUAACACAGGUGCUGCAUGGCUGUCGUCAGCUCGUGUCGUGAGAUGUUGGGUUAAGUCCCGCAACGAGCGCAACCCUUGUCAUUAGUUGCUACGCAAGAGCACUCUAAUGAGACUGCCGGUGACAAACCGGAGGAAGGUGGGGAUGACGUCAAGUCCUCAUGGCCCUUAUGGGUAGGGCUUCACACGUCAUACAAUGGUCGGUACAGAGGGUUGCCAAGCCGCGAGGUGGAGCCAAUCCCAGAAAGCCGAUCGUAGUCCGGAUCGCAGUCU
rnacentral:rRNA from 1 species